CCAAACCAGCAUUUCAUCUCCGAGGAAGUUAUCCCAGAGAGAAGUAAAGCAAACAUGCCUUUUAAGGACAUGAUGAGGAAACGGUGACAAAAGGAGCUGUGUGAGGCUGCUAAAGGCAGUGGAUCCCUCAUCAGCUGAAUUAGAGUACAGAUGGACAGCAAGUGGAGAGUGAUAGAUGAGAUGAGG